GCGAACGCUGGCGGCAGGCCUAACACAUGCAAGUCGAACGAACCUUCGGGUUAGUGGCGGACGGGUGAGUAACACGUGGGAACGUGCCUUUUGGUUCGGAACAACUCAGGGAAACUUGAGCUAAUACCGAAUGUGCCCUUCGGGGGAAAGAUUUAUCGCCAUUGGAGGGGCCCGCGUUCGAUUAGGUAGUUGGUGAGGUAAUGGCUCACCAAGCCGACGAUCGAUAGCUGGUCUGAGAGGAUGAUCAGCCACACUGGGACUGAGAUACGGCCCAGACUCCUACGGGAGGCAGCAGUGGGGAAUAUUGGACAAUGGGGGCAACCCUGAUCCAGCAAUGCCGCGUGAGUGAUGAAGGCCUUAGGGUUGUAAAGCUCUUUUGGCGGGGACGAUGAUGACGGUACCCGCAGAAUAAGCCCCGGCUAACUUCGU
rnacentral:rRNA from 1 species